CCUCGUAAGAGUAACGAUGUAAAUGAAUGUUACAGUUGAAUAUUGCAGUUGAAAGUGUGAAUGGUUCAAAUAAGUGAUUGAUUUAUAUAGGAAAUUCAAAGGAGAAACUCGCGAGUCGUAGUGAGGUUAAGUUUGAAAUUAUGUCGCUGUGGUCAAGGAUGAUGGGAUAUCGAUCAAAGCUGUUAAUCAACCUGAAAGACACUGCCUUUAGAAACAUCUAGUCUGCGUUUACAUUUCAUUCAAACCACGGUUUGGAAGAUCAAUCUAAGAGAUAUGUCACACAUCGGUGGCAAUAGCAAAAAAAUGCGGAAGCAUUUCCACUUGAGAGUUAAUCGUGCUCGUCGGAGAAAUAAAUGGGGCAAAGGCAUCUGACAUAAGAAUCGGACAGCGGUGAGGGAGAGCCGUGGAAAGGCUGAGAGGGAAGAGGAUGCCGGAAUGAAAAACAUUCGGGGAAAAGUUGAAAAUCGUCUGCUAUAUUAUUAAAGCUGUCCCCAUCUACCUUGGUAUAGAGCUUUGCGUCACCUAAAAUAUCUACCCGUGAACGAAGUAUGCAUGUCAAUAUUUUAUAAUACGACAAGACACAUAAGGGAUCCCGCCCCCAAGGCACUCGAUAUCUUCCCGUUUGCCAGAUAUUGUUCGAGGGUGGAAAUUGAUAGGGUGGCGCUGAUAUAAUCUACGAUACACGUGAGCGCAGCAACGAAGCCCGUUUUUUUUAAUUUCGUCGUAAUCAAUAAUUCAGUUUGCA